GAGGAGAAUGCACAGGAGCUGACGACCACUGGUGUCACUACGACAAUUUGGCAUUUUCAUCUGGAGUCCAUUUAAUUUGGAAGAGGUGACGGGAGGAGACUGUGCUAUAAUGUCAAAAGCAUCGCCAGGAGGAACAGUAGGAUUGCCAAAAGGCGGCUGGAUAUCCUUGGUGUCUGGGCCGCGUUCUCGCCGCGGGAUGGCUCGGCUGACUCAUGCUGAAGAUGGGCACACAAACUAUCGGCGUGGAUGCAAAUUUUCCUCUCAAUAAAUGGAGUAACUGAGGUGCUCAGCGAGGGCUGUCCAUGCUCUAGGCCCAUGCCGCACAAGACGGGGGAAUGAAUGUUGCAGAACCUUGAGAGGAAAGCUUUUUGUUUGUCAUGCAAUGGAAUUUACCUGGGGAAAAAAAGAUGACUGGAAAGCUCUGCCUACAUUCUGCAUCCGUGCAUCAAAAAGAUCUAAUUCAGGGUGAAACCAAUGCAUGCACUUGUUUCUCAUGCCAAUGGGCCAAAACACGUCCAAGGGACAUCCCCACAAUGUGCUGCUGCCGAGACACACGUGCUGACAGGUAGCUAGUCUGGCUGCCUCUUCGGAGAUAAUUGAAAAAAGAAAUUCUGUGGCAGGAUGCUUUGAUUCUGACUAAAUCAAGUCUUCGGGCAAAUUUCCUCCUGCCAGUGGAAGCACAGCUUGCCUGAAGUCGUAACCUUUGUUGGAGGAAAGGAACUGGCCUUGAAGCAGAUCAGGAAGCAGAUGUUUUAUGCCAAAUCAGAGUCUGGGGAUACGCAGGCUACUGCAAAUAAAACUCUUCUUCUGUCUGUUCAAUCAUUUCAAUUCCCUGCAGUGUGAAAUAUGAACUUGCCAACAAAUGGCCAGCGUGCUGUGCCUCGCAGCAGGGGGGGAAAGUGCCACAGCUGUGCCAGGGCCUGGAAGACUCGCGACGCGCGUGACAUGUUCAUUAUUUCUCCUGUUCAGCGGGGCCUGAACCCGGCUGCUCUCCAGAACCCAGAUGCGGGCCGGGAGCCGGGACCACCAACAGCACCCAAGGGUGAAAGACACGAUCCCACCAGAGUGAGACACACAGCUUGUCCUGAUCUCUCGGGCGACCCCAGGAGGUUAGUCUUGAAAACGAGAACCCUGAAAGUUGGUCAUCCCUAGGCACAAACAGACUGAAUGAAAAAACACAUCUGCCAAUGAGCCCAGCUUUUCUGACUUCACUAUUAGCAGCCUGCUCUGUGAGCACUCAGAAAGUGAAGAAAAUGAAAUGUACUCGAGCCACAAAGCACCUAUGAGAGAUUGAAAUGGCCCAGUGAAGAACUUAUCAGAAAGAUAUCUUGUCUUUAUAAGAAAGAUGGAAUUGCAGAAACUGUCCGGCUCACUUGUCACAGGCAAAUGGAACACGAGUUCCUUCUAGUUGAUUCCACAUUACAGUUUCUUGAUAAUAAAGUAGUUACUUUAUCUAAAUUAAAGUGGAAUUAGACUAACACGUUUCAGCAUGCGGUCCUUUGUAGCAUGUUGAACAUGCGUGUUCACACACACACCCUCACAGCUGUAAUCCUAGGUUAUAAACAUCCCAUGUUCAGUUCCAUUGUGAGAUUUUUUCAAAGGUUAUUCACAUGCUUUCUAGGGCCACAUUCUUUCAAGUUUUAAUCACAGGCUCCUUAAAUAGAAGUCAUUUGCAUCUGCAAACAUUCGCCUGGAAUAGUAUUUAGCAGUAUAUUCUCUUUGCACAGAGCUAUUUUAAAAGGAAAAUAAACCUGAAUACGGAAUAACAAUCAAACACAGGCAUAAAAAGAUAAAUCAGAGGCUUGAGAAACUUCUGUAACCCUUCAUGCAAUUUCUGAAAAAAUGUUUGAAGUUUCUCAAUCUUGAAACAGCCCAGAAUCAUAUAGUUUAUUUUGGAUGAUGGAUUAUAGGAAUACUCAUACAAUCCCAAGCAUGAUCUAAAUCAUAGGGACAUUUUUCAAGAAAUGAAAUGAGUUUGAAAUAAUUUAUUAUUUUGAAGGGAGGCCAAGUAAGUACACGUGGUUCAAGCUCAGAACGACAGACCAUUAUCACAACUAAUGGCCAAGUUCUCAUUAGGUUCGCAUUUCUAAAUGAAUGCUGUGGUCAAUAAAUCUGUCGCAGAACGGCCACAAAUGAUUGCUUUAAGGGAUUAAUAACAAGACUUGUAUUUUUAUUUUAGGAUUCUUUUGGCAGCAAUUACUCUAGAAUAUUAUUUCCCCAUAAUG